rnacentral:lncRNA from 1 species
GAAGUUCCCGUUGUCAAACAUCUUCUCGCAGUUGGGGUCCAGGGUCCAGUAAUUGCCUUUACCUGCAGAAGAAGAAACAGCCCAGUUCAGAAGGUUCGAGCUUUGACGGGCCGUGGUGUGAGCCAGCGAGGAGGUCAGCUUCAGAAAGAUCCCCUGCUGGCCCUUACAGAGGGUCUGAGUCCUCGCCCCCAUUCCACCCUUGACGGGCACUCUGUACCCGAUGGGCCUCCACAGCAGGACUGGGAAGAAAGUGACAAUCCAGAAAGGAGGAGGAAGGGAGCCCUGGGAAAGGCCGAGCCCCGUUAAGGUGAAGGAAGGCCUGCGAGAUGCUAAUGGUGGGACUCCGCCAGCCGCUCUGCCAAGGACAGCGCAGACCACGCCAGGCCCCCAGGCACUUGUGAAGAAAGAAAUGUUUCCCCUUCCCGUCGUUUUGUCAAUCAUGUUAUUUCGAUGUGACAACAAGUCAUCAUAAAUGUGACAUGAUUGAUUUGAAGAUGGCCAGAAAAGCUCAAAAGUCAUCUUUUUCCUGGCACAUUCUGGUUUUCUCGUGGACCCACUGCGCCUAUAAAAUGACAUUACACCGAAUCGGGAGGCAUCUGCAUGUAAAACAGAACAUUUAA